rnacentral:lncRNA from 1 species
CUGGGAUGGGUUAAUGUCGGGACAACUAUCUUCCAAAUUCUUCCUCCCAGGGCCCCAUAGUCCUGGAAAUCCAGCCUACACUCUCCCCAGAUCCCUGUUGGCCCUCAGGCUUAGAGCAACAAUCGCUGAGCGCCCCCUGGAUGGUGUGAUCUGGGCCGUUCUCCUUCUCCUUGACUCACCUCCAGCCCCGGAGGACUGGAGCCCCGCGGAUCCGGCCCCAACUGCACCACAGCCCGGGCUUGCUCGUGCUCUGCGAGGCCGCUCUCCUCGGAGCCCCGGGUGGGGCAGGUAGAGCCGUGUGCACUAUGCCUUUAAGUCCCGGCGAGAUGAGCGCUGUGAGUCGCAGCCGAGGCUAGCGCGGGACGUCGCCAUCAGCCUAGCUCAGGCCAAGAGCAGAGGGACAGCGGGGACCCUCGCCGCCCACUGUGCGCCCGUAGCCUGGGCUCAGCGAGCGGCGGGCGGCGCUCGGUGUGAUGCGGAAAAUGUGAGAGGCAGUGCAGGGCAGUGGGGAGGUGGGCGCGGAAAAGGGCGGCGGCAAGGCAGAAGGAAAGGCAGCGGGAGAGGCCGGAGACUGGUCGGGGACAGGUGGAAGACAAGAGCAGCGACCGAAAGAAUCAAGAGCACACGGCUGUGGGCGGGAGUGCGGGGGAAGCCGCAGGAGUGGGGUAGCUGGGCCCGGGGCUGGGGUUGUUAGCGCGGCCACGACGGGGCAGGGCACAGCGGAGGAGCGGGAACGCCCGCCGGGUGUCCUCUGGGAGCAGCGGGGAACGUGAGGCGCGGUCGGCCCAGGAAGGGUCUCGCGGAGAGGUCGUUGUGGCAGCGGGGAACCUUGAUGAGCUCCCCAGGAGGGCGAGAACCCAAAGUGCAGAGUCGGGUGUGUAGCGGCGGGGGUGUGUGCGCGCCCGGGUGUGCGCGAGUGUGAGCGCACGGGCGGGUGGGAGCGCGCGUUAGGGAUUCUGCUGGCAUCGCAGCGUGGAGAGCAGGAGGCAGGAGCCGGGCGCGCAGGGGAGCGCGGGGGCUCUGCCGCGCACACGUCGUGCGCGCUCUCUUGUGCACAUACACUCUUUUGCACACACACACACACACACACACACACACACACACACACACACACACACGCCUUUUCUGCUUCGUUGGUUGCUGCUGCCACCAUCUCGGAGCUGAGCCCUGCGGAGCGAGAACCCAAGCUGGAGCUGGGAUCGGAGGCGAGCCCAGCCUGGUGAUGCCGGCCCAGAGCAGAGCCCCGCGCGGACGACUAGCUCUGAUGGAUUCCUGUGACCCUGCCAGGGUCAGGCGGGACCGCGUACUGACAGCUCCACAAGGGCCAAGAGAUGUCUUUGCAACUACCAUGAAGCCUCCUGUAUCCAUAGGCCCUGAGAUUCUGGUACCUAUGGGCAAAAGGGCCAACUGAACCAGGCCUAGGCUGAUUCCAGCCCAGCUGCACCCAGCACUACCCAGUCACAGGUA